ensembl:snRNA U6 U6 spliceosomal RNA
UUGCUUUGGCAGCACAUAUAUCAAAACUGAAACAGUACAGAGAAGAUUGGGAUGGCCCUUGCACAAGGAUGACACACAAAUUCAUGAAGACUUCCAUAUUUAA